CGAAAGCCUGACGGAGCAACGCCGCGUGGGGGAAGAAGGUUCUUGGAUUGUAAACCCCUUUUCUCAGGGAAGAAGAUCUGACGGUACCUGAGGAAUCAGCCUCGGCUAACUCCGUGCCAGCAGCCGCGGUAAUACGGAGGAGGCAAGCGUUAUCCGGAAUUAUUGGGCGUAAAGCGUCCGCAGGGGGCGCAUCAAGUCUGCUGUUAAAGGCUGGAGCUCAACUCCGGUAGAGCAGUGGAAACUGGUGCGCUAGAGGGCGACAGGGGUAGAGGGAAUUCCCAGUGUAGCGGUGAAAUGCGUAGAGAUCGGGAAGAACAUCGGUGGCGAAAGCGCUCUACUGGACGGCAACUGACACUCAGGGACGAAAGCUGGGGGAGCG
rnacentral:rRNA from 1 species